UACGUAGGAUGCAAGCGUUGUCCGGAAUUAUUGGGCGUAAAGAGCGAGCAGGCGGUUACUCAAGUCAGAUGUAAAAUAUCCCGGCUUAACCGGGAGGGGCCAUUUGAAACUGGGCAACUAGAGUGAAGCAGAGGAUAGCGGAAUUCCCGGUGUAGUGGUGAAAUGCGUAGAUAUCGGGAAGAACACCCGUGGCGAAGGCGGUUCUCUGGGACGGUACUGACGCUGAGACGCGAAAGCGUGGGGAGCGAACAGG
rnacentral:rRNA from 1 species